rnacentral:tRNA from 1 species
GCCCUGGUAGCUCAGUAGGAUAGAGCGGUCGCCUCCUAAGCGACAGGCCGCUGGUUCGACUCCAGUCCAGGGUGCCA